rnacentral:lncRNA from 1 species
AUGGACAUGAGUAUGAGUAGUCUCUGGGCAUUUGUGAUGGACAGGGAGGCCUGGCAUGCUGCAGUCCAUGGGGUCACAAAGAGUCAGACAUGACUAAGUGACUGAACUGAACUGACCUGUUAACCUCUCCCAACCCACUGUAUGUAGUAAUUCUACUGCAUACAAAGGAGUUCAAUACCAAGAACACAUUCAUAAAUCCAGUUCAUUUGUAAGUCCAACAAGGUUAGCCUAGGUACCCAACUAUCAGGAUCAGCUAUAUACUACUGUGUUGUAAUAGGUUUAUAAUACUGUUCACACAAAUAAUACACACAAAGAAACACACAAAAAUAAAAAUAAUGUUUUUAAUCUUACAGUACAAUUCCUUGAAAACUACAGUAAUACAGUACAACAGCUGGCUUACAGGAACUGGCAAGAAGGACAAGUAAGAAGAGUUCCUGAUGGAGUUGAGAGAGGAGGGCAAUGUCUCUCACUCUGUGCUUUUAAACCAGUGAAGAAUGCUCAUUGAUUCUGCCAUGGUGGAGGACAAACUGCCCCAACAGGCAGACGUGCAAGGCCAUUACCACAUGAAACAAGAGUCUGAACAGCACAAGUCAUACAAAGGCUGAUUAAAGGAGAGGUGGGCAUUUGCUUCUCAUAUAAUAGAACAGCCUCUAUUUUCUCCAUUUGCUCCUGCCACAUAAAUAACAUUCAUUGGUGUACUCAGCACAAUGUUAACAAGAGGACUUCUUUUGUGAGGACAUUCAUGUACUCUGAUAGUGAAACAGAAGGGCUUGUUCGUGUAGAAUUUUAUCUAGU